rnacentral:rRNA from 1 species
AUUGAACGCUGGCGGCAGGCCUAACACAUGCAAGUCGAGCGGAGGGGCGGACGGGUGCGUAAUGCCUAGGAAUCUGCCUGGUAGUGGGGGAUAACGUCCGGAAAUGGGCGCUAAUACCGCAUACUAUAACAAUAGGCUAGGUCGGAUUAGCUAGUUGGUGGGGUAAAGGCCUACCAAGGCGACGAUCCGUAACUGGUCUGAGAGGAUGAUCAGUCACACUGGAACUGAGACACGGUCCAGACUCCUACGGGAGGCAGCAGUGGGGAAUAGUGCACAAUGGGCGAAAGCCUGAUCCAGCCAUGCCGCGUGUGUGAAGAAGGUCUUCGGAUUGUAAAGCACUUUAAGUUGGGAGGCGUUACCAACAGAAUAAGCACCGGCUAACUUCGUGCCAGCAGCCGCGGUAAUAC